AGUUCCACUGGAAGCCGACGUGCGGCGUGCGGUGCAUCCUGACGGACGAGGAGGCGGCGCUGGUCGGGGGACGGAACCACAGCCACGCGACGCAGGACCUGUACGACUCCAUCGCGGCGGGGAGCUUCCCGGAGUGGACGCUGUACGUGCAGGUGAUGGAGCCGGACACGGAGGAGCAGUACGACUUCGACCCGCUGGACGACACCAAGACGUGGCCGGAGGACCUGCUGCCGCUCCGCCCCGUGGGGAGGCUGGUGCUGGACAGGAACGUGGACAACUUCU
rnacentral:lncRNA from 1 species